GAGCCAUUAGCUCAGCUGGUAGAGCAUCUGACUUUUAAUCAGAGGGUCAGAAGUUCGAAUCCUCUAUGGCUCA
rnacentral:tRNA from 1 species